UUAUGAAACAAACUAUUACCACUAGUUGCGAAAAGCAGUUGCGGUUAGCUGUUAUCGUGUAUAUUUAUGCGAAAUCGGUCAAUAAAAACGGAAAUGUUUGAUGAACUGAACACAUAUUUAUUUCAAGAUAGUUCGUAUUUCAAAGCACAACAAUCUUAAACGGAGCUACCUAAACAUUCACUUGGGUUAUUUUGAUUUCAACACAACCGAGUUCGUUAUAAAUUGCACUAUUUACACAACAUUUUGCACGGAUAUUAAUUUCCAUAUUCACCAACGAAUUGAAUUAUUUAA